rnacentral:rRNA from 1 species
AUGGAGAGUUUGAUUCUGGCUCAGAACGAACGCUGGCGGCGUGGAUAAGACAUGCAAGUCGAACGAGAGAAUUGCUAGCUUGCUAAUAAUUCUCUAGUGGCGCACGGGUGAGUAACACGUGAGUAACCUGCCCCCGAGAGCGGGAUAGCCCUGGGAAACUGGGAUUAAUACCGCAUAGUAUCGAAAGAUUAAAGCAGCAAUGCGCUUGGGGAUGGGCUCGCGGCCUAUUAGUUAGUUGGUGAGGUAACGGCUCACCAAGGCGAUGACGGGUAGCCGGUCUGAGAGGAUGUCCGGCCACACUGGAACUGAGACACGGUCCAGACACCUACGGGUGGCAGCAGUCGAGAAUCAUUCACAAUGGGGGAAACCCUGAUGGUGCGACGCCGCGUGGGGGAAUGAAGGUCUUCGGAUUGUAAACCCCUGUCAUGUGGGAGCAAAUUAAAAAGAUAGUACCACAAGAGGAAGAGACGGCUAACUCUGUGCCAGCAGCCGCGGUAAUACAGAGGUCUCAAGCGUUGUUCGGAAUCACUGGGCGUAAAGCGUGCGUAGGCUGUUUCGUAAGUCGUGUGUGAAAGGCGCGGGCUCAACCCGCGGACGGCACAUGAUACUGCGAGACUAGAGUAAUGGAGGGGGAACCGGAAUUCUCGGUGUAGCAGUGAAAUGCGUAGAUAUCGAGAGGAACACUCGUGGCGAAGGCGGGUUCCUGGACAUUAACUGACGCUGAGGCACGAAGGCCAGGGGAGCGAAAGGGAUUAGAUACCCCUGUAGUCCUGGCAGUAAACGGGGCACGCUUGGUGUGCGGGGAAUCGACCCCCUGCGUGCCGGAGCUAACGCGUUAAGCGUGCCGCCUGGGGAGUACGGUCGCAAGAUUAAAACUCAAAGAAAUUGACGGGGACCCGCACAAGCGGUGGAGUAUGUGGCUUAAUUCGAUGCAACGCGAAGAACCUUACCUGGUCUUGACAUCCACAGAACUUUCCAGAGAUGGAUUGGUGCCUUCGGGAACUGUGAGACAGGUGCUGCAUGGCUGUCGUCAGCUCGUGUUGUGAAAUGUUGGGUUAAGUCCCGCAACGAGCGCAACCCUUAUCCUUUGUUGCCAGCGGUCCGGCCGGGAACUCAAAGGAGACUGCCAGUGAUAAACUGGAGGAAGGUGGGGAUGACGUCAAGUCAUCAUGGCCCUUACGACCAGGGCUACACACGUGCUACAAUGGCGCAUACAAAGAGAAGCGACCUCGCGAGAGCAAGCGGACCUCAUAAAGUGCGUCGUAGUCCGGAUUGGAGUCUGCAACUCGACUCCAUGAAGUCGGAAUCGCUAGUAAUCGUGGAUCAGAAUGCCACGGUGAAUACGUUCCCGGGCCUUGUACACACCGCCCGUCACACCAUGGGAGUGGGUUGCAAAAGAAGUAGGUAGCUUAACCUUCGGGAGGGCGCUUACCACUUUGUGAUUCAUGACUGGGGUGAAGUCGUAACAAGGUAACCGUAGGGGAACCUGCGGUUGGAUCACCUCCUUACCUUAAAGAAGC